GACGCUUAAUUCAGUAAAUUGGAACCCAGUGAAGAAGUGUUGACCGCACUGCUGGGGACACCUGAAGAGCAUCCGAAAUCUUGAUGGGAUACUUUCAAGUAUCGGGCGCAAAAUCGGUAACGAUUAGCGAUAGCGGAGAAACUCCAAAUGCUAAGGGUGGGCGCUAUUAUAUCUAGUUGUAAACGCACGAUUCCUUUCGGCGGGACAAUAGAAAGCCUGGUGAAUAGCUAGGCCGAAUCCAGAUAAGGGUUUAGCUGGUGACUGUAUCAAACUCUGGAAACACCAACAACUCGCUACUGUCGAUGAAAGCCAGAAAUGGCAUAUAAGAAAGGUUUACGGUACUCGCAGGUCAAGACAGCAAGUUCAAUGGAACAAUUCUAGAAAAGAAUUAUUGAUUGAUUAAUUGCUGAAUGGUUUGGCUCGGAGUUCAAGGUAAGCAGUCCUUGUCUAGCUAGGCGAAAGCAGGCAUAGAAAGUGAUUGGGUCGCUCCCAACGCUCAGCUCUAUGUUUCUAGGUUGCGGAAUAUGCGAUGGGGAUAUAAUAGUAAGGAGAAACACCUCAAAUUUAUUGAAUUAGGCG
rnacentral:ncRNA from 1 species